AUUGAACGCUGGCGGCAUGCCUUACACAUGCAAGUUCGAACGGCAGCACGGGAGCAAUCCUGGUGGCGAGUGGCGAACGGGUGAGUAAUAUAUCGGAACGUGCCCAGUCGUGGGGAUAACGUAGCGAAAGCUACGCUAAUACCGCAUACGAUCUACGGAUGAAAGCGGGGGGAUCGCAAGACCUCGCGCGAUUGGAGCGGCCGAUAUCAGAUUAGGUAGUUGGUGAGGUAAAGGGCUCACCAAGCCGACGAUCUGUAGCUGGUCUGAGAGGACGACCAGCCACACUGGGACUGAGACACGGCCCAGACUCCUACGGGAGGCAGCAGUGGGGAA
rnacentral:rRNA from 1 species